ensembl:lncRNA
CCUCCCGAAGGUUAUGGAUACAGUAGGAAUGGAAAACGCUUAGGAUAUAUAUCACUACGGAAUAUUUCGCGCUCUUAUUACCCUGUAUCACAACACUCCCAGACUGAUGAAGUUGUAGACUACGCCUGGUGCGCCACGCCCAUCAGCAAUAGCUUGGAGUACUACUCCAACACCAAAGUUAUACUGAAAAAAUAUAGCUCUAAAUAAAGUAAAAUAAUAAUACGUGUGAACUUGGCAAGUAGCCUAUAUCAUGAAUUGUAGCCUACAUUUACCUUAGCCUAUAACUAUCAUACAACAGACGACUAUUCUGACUAUUCUUUCUAGAUAACCUCUGUGACACUUUGAUCUUGACGAGGUCCAGUAUUAAGACUGUAUAGCAUAACCCUCGUAUACUGUGAGGAAAAUGGCUGCCCAUGGGCUUCCAGAUGGCACUGGGGGAAAACAGGGGGGCCUGCUGCAAGAGGUCAUGCACUUGUUACUUUUAUGAACAAAUAAGAAAUAAAAAUAAGAAAAAGUGUAGUUGAUGAUGUUUUCCCUGAUGGUAGUAAUGAAUGAGGAUGAACAAAGGGGAAGGGGUUGUCUAUUGAAUGUGUCAGAGCCUGCUAGCAUUAAUAUCGGUCUCACCCACAAACACUACAUAUGUGUUCAACUCUGUGGCUCUUUGUUAUUGUACCCACCCAGGGUGACUCAGACAAGGAGCAAAUCAGCACAGCUACGAUGCUAAUCGUAGUAUUACUUUUUUUUGGUAGGCAUAAAAAAACGAGACAUGGGUCUAGAUUUCCCAGUCGAACUCUUGACGUCAGAGGCCCAUAGUCCAGGCAACAGUUGUUCAGGAUGGGACAGGACGGGGUUCAGGGGAUUCAAUGCUCGAUAACUGUCUUUGAAAGAGGCGAGCCAGACUGUGUCCAACAAAAGCCUUGUGGGAAAUGGGAACCUUCGAGGCAGUUCGAGGCUCAGUGGACAGAUUUGAGCUGCCAGAGAUGAGUGAACA